rnacentral:rRNA from 1 species
GACGAACGCUGGCGGCGUGCUUAACACAUGCAAGUCGAACGAAAAGACGGAAAGAGCUUGCUCUUUUCAGAAUUGAGUGGCAAACGGGUGAGUAACACGUAAACAACCUGCCUUCAGGAUGGGGACAACAGACGGAAACGACUGCUAAUACCGAAUAAGUUCCAAGGGCCGCAUGGCCCAUGGAAGAAAAGGUGGCCUCUACCUGUAAGCUAUCGCCUGAAGAGGGGUUUGCGUCUGAUUAGCUGGUUGGAGGGGUAACGGCCCACCAAGGCAACGAUCAGUAGCCGGUCUGAGAGGAUGAACGGCCACACUGGAACUGAGACACGGUCCAGACUCCUACGGGAGGCAGCAGUGGGGAAUCUUCCGCAAUGGGCGAAAGCCUGACGGAGCAACGCCGCGUGAGUGAUGACGGCCUUCGGGUUGUAAAACUCUGUGAUCCGGGACGAAAAGGCAGAGUGCGAAGAACAAACUGCAUUGACGGUACCGGAAA